GAUAAUUGAACAGAACAAGUGCAUCCAUGGUGUUGCUAGAAGGGGCAGAAGGUCCAGCAGCAGCUGUAGCAACAGAUGGGGCAUAGGCACGUGCGAGCACAGGGGCGGGUAUGGGGGCGGCAACAGGUGGGGGAGCAUAGUAGGUGCUUGAUAGACUCCUCAAUUGAAGUCAAUAAAAAACACACAGAGGCACAAUGAGCGCGGGUGGAAAAAUAACAAAUUGCAACUGUAAAAAUACAAAAAGGAAGUUGCAAUAUACAAACGCCAAGCAGUCACAAAAACAAACAUGUACAUGAAAAAAAAUAAAAUCACCUCAAGAUUGUCGUACUCGAUCGCUCCAUAAGGUACAUCUCCCCUGUGAUCCAUUGCUCCUAUUCUAUCAAUAAUCCUGUUGUCCAGCACAGAACAUCGAG
rnacentral:lncRNA from 1 species